AUUGAACGCUGGCGGCAGGCCUAACACAUGCAAGUCGAGCGGAUGAAGGGAGCUUGCUCCUGGAUUCAGCGGCGGACGGGUGAGUAAUGCCUAUGAAUCUGCCUGGUAGUGGGGGAUAACGUCCGGAAACGGGCGCUAAUACCGCAUACGUCCUGUGGGAGAAAGUGGGGGAUCUUCGGACCUCACGCUAUCAGAUGAGCCUAGGUCGGAUUAGCUAGUUGGUGGGGUAAAGGCCUACCAAGGCGACGAUCCGUAACUGGUCUGAGAGGAUGAGCAGUCACACUGGAACUGAGACACGGCCCAGACUCCUACGGGAGGAAGCAGUGGGGAAUAUUGGACAAUGGGCGAAAGCCUGAUACAGCCAUGCCGCGUGUGUGAAGAAGGUCUUCGGAUUGUAAAGCAAUUUAAGUUGGGAGGAAGGGCAGUAAGUUAAUACCUUGCUGUUUUGACGUUACCAACAGAAUAAGCACCGGCUAACUUCGUG
rnacentral:rRNA from 1 species